rnacentral:rRNA from 1 species
UCCAGCAAUCAUUUCACCCUCACCUCACCACUCACCACUGGCAGCCCACUGAAACUCAGCAGGUCUGGGCCUGGUCAGUACCUGGAUGGGAGACCUCCUGGGAAAAACUAAGGUUGCUGGAG